GACGAACGCUGGCGGCGUGCUUAACACAUGCAAGUCACGGGGGUCCCGGGGGCAACCUUGGGAUAACCGGCGAACGGGUGCGUAACACGUGAACAACCUGCCCUCGUGUGGGGGAUAGCCAUGCUAACGCGUGGGUAAUACCGCAUACGUUCCCUUGGAGGAGUCUCUGGGGGAGGAAAGCUCCGGCGCACGGGGAGGGGUUCGCGGCCUAUCAGCUAGUUGGCGGGGUAAUGGCCCACCAAGGCGACGACGGGUAGCUGGCCUGAGAGGAUGGCCAGCCACAUUGGGACUGAGAGACGGCCCAGACUCCUACGGGAGGCAGCAGUGGGGAAUCUUGCGCAAUGGCCGAAAGGCUGACGCAGCGACGCCGCGUGUGGGAGGACGCCUUUCGGGGUGUAAACCACUGUUGCCCGGGACGAACAGCCUGUUUCGACAGGUCUGACGGUACCGGGUGAGGAAGCACCGGCUAACUCCGUGCCAGCAGCCGCGGUAAUACGGAGGGUGCGAGCGUUGUCCGGAAUCAUUGGGCGUAAAGGGCGCGUAGGUGGCCCGGUCAGUCAGUGGUGAAAGCGCGGGGCUCAACCCCGCGUCGGCCAUUGAUACUGCGGGGCUCGAGCACUGUAGAGGCAGGCGGAAUUCCGGGUGUAGCGGUGGAAUGCGUAGAGAUCCGGAAGAACACCGGUGGCGAAGGCGGCCUGCUGGGCAGUAGCUGACACUGAGGCGCGACAGCGUGGGGAGCAAACAGGAUUAGAUACCCUGGUAGUCCACGCCGUAAACGAUGGGCACUAGGCGCUUGGGGGAGCGACCCCCCGAGGGCCGGCGCUAACGCAUUAAGUGCCACG
rnacentral:rRNA from 1 species